AUUGAACGCUGGCGGCAGGCCUAACACAUGCAAGUCGAGCGGAUGAAGAGAGCUUGCUCUCUGAUUUAGCGGCGGACGGGUGAGUAAUGCCUAGGAAUCUGCCUGGUAGUGGGGGAUAACGUUCCGAAAGGAACGCUAAUACCGCAUACGUCCUACGGGAGAAAGCAGGGGACCUUCGGGCCUUGCGCUAUCAGAUGAGCCUAGGUCGGAUUAGCUAGUUGGUGAGGUAAUGGCUCACCAAGGCUACGAUCCGUAACUGGUCUGAGAGGAUGGUCGGUCACACUGGAAGUGGGACACGGUCCAGACUCUUACGGGAGGCAGCAUUUGGGAAUAUUAGACAAUGUUCGACAGCCUGAUCCAGGCAUGCCGGGUGUGUGAAGAAGGUCUUCGGAUUGUAUAGCACUUUAAAUUGUGAGGAAGAACAUUAAGUUAAUACCUUGCUGUUUUGACCUUACCGACAGAAUAAGCACCGGCUAACUGCGUGCCAGCCGCCGCAGUAACAC
rnacentral:rRNA from 1 species